GCAUGCUUAGAUUUAAAAACGAAAGUCCAGUAAAGGAAAACAAAGAUUAAAAGUUCAGUAAAAUACAGUAAAAGAACGCAUGCUUAUAGAAAUUAGUAGAAAGAAGAAUAGAAUAGAAGUACAUUCAUAACACGACAAAUAUAAGAACACAAAAGAAAAACUCAUACAAACAUGGCAUGGAUAGAUUUAGACAAAGAAAAGAAGAAGA
rnacentral:lncRNA from 1 species